rnacentral:misc_RNA from 1 species
GAAUUGCGAAAAGUAAUGUGAAUUGCAUAAUUCCGUGAAUCAUCAAAUCUUUGAACGCACCUUGCGCUAGCUGGAAUUCCGGCUAGCAUACCUGUUUGAGUAUCAUAAACUAGUCACCUAGAGUGGAUAUGGGCAAAGUAUUAUAUACCUGCCUUAAAAGUAUAGGAAACACAAUAGAGCUAAAUUGACUAUUGCGCAGACACCAUACAACAAUGAUCUCAAAUCAGGUGGGAUUACCCGCUGAACUUAA